rnacentral:rRNA from 1 species
UACGAAGGGUGCAAGCGUUACUCGGAAUUACUGGGCGUAAAGCGUGCGUAGGUGGUUUGUUAAGUCUGAUGUGAAAGCCCUGGGCUCAACCUGGGAACGGCAUUGGAAACUGGCUUACUAGAGUGCGGUAGAGGGGUGUGGAAUUCCCGGUGUAGCAGUGAAAUGUGUAGAUAUCGGGAGGAACAUCUGUGGCGAAGGCGACACCCUGGACCAGCACUGACACUGAGGCACGAAAGCGUGGGGAGCAAACAGG